CGGUUGAUCCUGCCGGACCCUACCGCUAUCGGGGUAGGACUAAAACAUGCUAGUCGAGCGUCUCUCAAGCUACUGGUAAAGACGCGGCGAACGGCUCAGUAACACGUGGCCAACCUACCCUUAGGACGGGAACAACCCCGGAAAACUGGGGUUAAUUCCCGAUGGGUGAAGAAGCCUGGAAUGGUUCUUCACCGAAAGGACGUUAGAGGCAUGCUCUCUAACGUCGCCCAAGGAUGGGGCCGCGGCCGAUCAGGUUGUUGGUAGGGUAACGGCCUACCAAGCCUAUAACCGGUACGGGCCGUGAGAGCGGAAGCCCGGAGAUGGGCACUGAGAUAAGGGCCCAGGCCCUACGGGGCGCAGCAGUUGCGAAACCUCGCCAAUGCACGAAAGUGCGAGCGGGCUACCCCGAGUGCCGUCCGCUGAGGAUGGCUUUUCUCCGCUGUAAGGAGGCGGAGGAAUAAGGAGAGGGCAAGACUGGUGUCAGCCGCCGCGGUAAUACCAGCUCUCCGAGUGGUAGGGGUGAUUAUUGGGCCUAAAGCGUCCGUAGCCGGCCUAGCAAGUCCUUCGUUAAAUCCAGCAACCUAAUUGUUGGGCUGCGAAGGAUACUGUUAGGCUAGAGGGCGGGAGAAGUCGACGGUAUUCUCGGGGUAGGGGUGAAAUCUUAUAAUCCCGGGAGGACCACCAGUGGCGAAGGCUGUCGGCUAGCACGCGCCUGACGGUGAGGGACGAAAGCUGGGGGAGCGAACCGGAUUAGAUACCCGGGUAGUCCCAGCUGUAAACGAUGCGGGCUAGGUGUUGGAGCGGCUACGAGCCGCUCCAGUGCCGCAGCGAAGGCGUUAAGCCCGCCGCCUGGGAAGUAUGGCCGCAAGGCUGAAACUUAAAGGAAUUGGCGGGGGAGCAC
rnacentral:rRNA from 1 species